GAUGAACGCUAGCUGCAGGCUUAACACAUGCAAGUCGAGGGGAACUGACAUCGAAAGCUUGCUUUUGAUGGGCGUCGACCGGUGCACGGGUGAGUAACGCGUAUCCAACCUGCUCACCACUUGGGGAUAACCUUGCGAAAGUAAGACUAAUACCCAAUGACGUCUCUAGAAGACAUCUUAAGGAGAAUAAAGAUUUAUCGGUGAUGGAUGGGGAUGCGUCUGAUUAGCUUGUUGGCGGGGUAACGGUCAACCAAGGCGACGAUCAGUAGGGGGUCUGAGAGAGAGGUCACCCACAUUGGGACGGAGGUACGGUCCAAACUCCUGCGGGAGGAGGCGGUGAGGAAUAUUAGUCAAUGGACGGGAGACUGACACAGCCAAGGAGCGUGCAGGAUGACGGCCCUGUGGGUUGUAAAUUGCUUUUGUAAGGAAAUAAAGUGAGUCUCGUGAGACUUUUUGCAUGUACCUUAUGAAUAAGGACCGGCUAAUUCCGUGCACGCCGCCGCCGUAA
rnacentral:rRNA from 1 species